UACGUAGGGUGCGAGCGUUGUCCGGAUUUAUUGGGCGUAAAGAGCUCGUAGGCGGUUUGUCGCGUCGGCCGUGAAAACCUGCAGCUUAACUGUGGGCUUGCGGUCGAUACGGGCAGACUUGAGUUCGGUAGGGGAGACUGGAAUUCCUGGUGUAGCGGUGAAAUGCGCAGAUAUCAGGAGGAACACCGGUGGCGAAGGCGGGUCUCUGGGCCGAUACUGACGCUGAGGAGCGAAAGCGUGGGGAGCGAACAGG
rnacentral:rRNA from 1 species